rnacentral:misc_RNA from 1 species
CAGCGUCGAGAGAACGUGGGAGUGGAAUUCCCUGAUUCUCAUGAGCCUUAUUUUGGGAGCGGCUCGUUCAGUCGCCCGGAAGCGGGACUUACAAAUUUGGAGCGGUGGCCCAUUUUUUUCAGUCGCUCUGUAGCUUGCUCUGGCUCAACCGAAAUCAUCGGCCAAUUCCUAGAAGCGGUCUCCGCGCUCCUUCACGAUCACCUUCCUCGCCUUGCCUUCGAAUUUUCUUUAACAACUUCUGUCUUCACUUACUUUACAUAUUCCUCUUCGCAAAUAGUCACAUACUUACGGAAGCAUCAGCUCUAAUGAGAUAUAAAAAUGUUUUAUAUAAUAUACGUGAAACGUUUCAAGAAGUGUUCGAAUACUUUCACGAGCGACUGGAUAUGAAAUAUACCUCGGGUAAAAGAGUUUAAUUUAAUUUUAUACUCGUACCUCAGACAAUAAUGUACAGUUAGUGGAUAUUGAUAAAAAGUUUGGUUAACAUUAAUUAUUGUAAGUACGAAAAGAGUAAUUGAAGGUGGAUGAAAAUUGAUCCUCCAGAAACACUUAAGUGACUUAGGUGUGCACGUUAAUAUCAGGAUGUUAGAACGAUUGAAAUAUGAAUUUUACAAAGUACCACCCAUACAUUAGAAACAAAUAUGGAAUUUGAUUCAAUAAUGAUUACAGAAUGUAACCGCUAAUUACAAUGAACAAAUUCACAUGGAAAUAUAUGCAAUUUAAAAAAAGAAUGCGAAUUAAUCCGAAAUACGAAGAUCGUGAACGUAUUAAGGAAUAAAACUGUAGCGUAGCACAAUCAAGUUAUGUAGCAGAACGAUAUUGGUACAAAUAUGAAUAUGCACUCACAUUCCGUACAAUUCGAGUGCUACAGAUACGGAAAAGUAAUUUAUAAUUUGUCGUAAUGCGAAUUUUGGCGCGUCGCCAUAAAUAAAUUUUUGUUUAAAACGAAAUUGUUAAAUAUCCUUUUGUAUCAAUUCACAUAAAGUUAAUAAAUCAAUAUUGAACAUAUUGCUCAC